AUAUUCUCUGUUAUUGAACAGAUUUAUUUUACAUUUUUGAUAUGUAUACCGGUGUAAAUUUUAGGAACCAUGAGUAGGCGGAACCUUCAGAACUGUGUCUGCGCACCCCCGGCUGCCUAUUGCGGACCAUUUCCUGAUCCUCUCGAGAUGCAAAUUGGGAAAAGACACGAGUGUUUCUGUCGUUCCUUCAUUGCAGCUUUUCCUAUAUUUGACAGAUUUACGAAGGGAACUAACAAUUUCCCUAACAUAAUUGGGGGCUCGUCCGGGAUCCCAAGAUCCUCUCUUUGCCGGGACAUCGAGUCGGCGACUGAAGUCUGUGCACAGCCAGGUUUGGAACCUGCAGAAAAUCCUGGGAGGUGAAUUCCUGCCCAGGUCAGACGUCGGCUGGUGGUCCGACGAGGCGAGGUGACGGGAUCCUGAACCAGGGCCAGGACAUAGAUCGGGCGAGUAUGAAAAGAGUAAAUCCUAAGGUAUCUUAAAUUCCGUGAGUGGCUCACGAGGUAAAAGAAGACUGGGUCUUCAGAAAAGUUCCGUGACGAGGUCACGAGGUAAAAUAGGACCGGGUCCUCGUAAAAUAGAUUAAUGAUAGUUUGUCUGAUUGAAGCAGCGGCAGAGUGGAAACCUGACGGUGUCAACGUAAACUCUGUGAUCAGCUGGAGUAAAUCAGACUAUAUAAAUAAGUGUUAUUGUUUGUCGGUCUCUAAGUGAAUUUUAACUUCUUAGAGGAAGUCUCAGAGACUUUUUGUGUUGUGUGUCUGAUUGAGAUCAAAAUUGAGAGGUUGGUUUGCUGAGACAGCUGUGUCCGCAGGAAACUAGUUCCUGUAGAAGCUUGGCACAGUCGAUGCUCUCUGUGAACACUGUGACUGAUCGUUGAUCUCAAUCCUCGUAGUGAAGCAAAUUAAAGAACACUAAGGGUGAAAACCUUGAAGGUGAUUCCAAAUACAUGUCUAAAAGACAUUCUCAGUCGACUAUAAUAAUAUAUACAUAACUUACCAUAGUGGAAAAAGAAAUUUGGAUUUGAUGGAAAUUUAAAAAAGUAGAAUUGUGUUAAAAAUUUGAUGGAUAAAAUAACUGUGAUAACUGAAACAGUUAAAAGAACAAGAUGGGGAAUAUAAUAAAGGGACCAGUUAAAAAUUCAUGCUAUAUGCACAACAAAAUUUUGAAUUAAAAAUAAACACUAAAGGGGUGUAUAAGUAUGGAACAAAUUAAGUGAAGACAUAAAAAAUAUUAAUGAAAUGAUAGAAAUAUAAUAGAAACUAUAUAAUAGAUAUAAUUUAAUAAUUGUUUUAUAUUAAUAUAAAAAAUAACCUAUAAUACAAUAAUAAUAUAAUUGAUGUGCUUAAAUAUAAAUAUAAAGGCAUGCGUCAAUUAAAACAUAGGAAAGAACAAGCUCAUUGAUUAAUUAGAUGGAACGUUGUGGAAGUGGUGCACGAAUAUUAACAUUCUGUUAUAAUUCCUUAUUGUUAAAAUACUUUGUGAUGUAUGAAACUAACAGUCUAUGUUCAGAUAUUGAAUACAAAUCAAUGAAAUGAAGCAAAAGCAACAAUGUUUGCUGUAGACAGUGAAGGAUGCUAUUGGCACUGACUUAUGUGUAAGACUGCAUGAUUACCCACAAAUUACCCUAACCAUAUUUGGCAAAAAGGAAAACCUGCACAUGAGGUUGUUAACAGAGUUUAUGAUUGGAAUCCAAAAUAAAAGUGUGAAUACAGCUCAAUGACGGUGUGAAAGAGAAUAGCUCUGAACUGGAAAACCCAGACUGUGCCCACAGCCCACCUUAGAGGAAAUCAACAAUCAGCAACAGUGUGCUUUAGGUUUGGCAGAGAGACGCAGCCCAUACUGCACGGCUGAGGCCACAGACCAUCUGACUGUCCACAGAAUGAUUCUGCUGGAGCAAAGUGAUGGGCGAGAGGCCAGUUGGGUUCCAGUACCAGUGUAGAUAACACUGAGGAGGGAGGUGAAUGCACUGACACACUCCACAAUGAAGAUACACACGCACGCAGACGCACUCACUGAUGAUGUCACAGCUAACAGCAAUGAAGAAUGCUUGCUAUGCUUAGACUCAGAAAUGCUCACAGCUAACUGCAAUGAAGAACGCUUGUAACGCUUAGAUUCAGAAAUGAUUUGACAAUGUUUUUCAAAUGUAGAAAAAAAAAAAAACUUUAUAAAUCAUGUCAGAGACAAUAUUAGACUAAUACACUCAGACCUGAUGCAGAACAAGGAAUAGCACUUGUCAUAGACUCCCUGUUAAGAAGUUGUGGUACCUGAUCCCUACAUUCUGUUGAAUAAUUUACACCCAGAUAAGCAGAUCUUCUCAGUUAUAGAUGUUAGUAAUGCCUUUUGUAGUAUCCCAGUUCCCCCAGGUUCACAAUUUUGGUUUGCGCUUACUUACAAAGGUCAGCGAUGCACGUACACCAGGCUACAAUAAGGUUAUUGUAAAAGCCCGACUAGUUUCCGACUAGUGUAUUCCAGCAAAUUUUGCUGAAAUUACACCCCCACACAGUAGUCAGAUAUUACUGUACACAGAUGAUGUUCUGGUAGCGUCACAGACUGAAGAAGAAUGCAGUAAAGAUACUGUAGCACUUCUUUCAUUUCGGCCAGAGAACAGUCACAAAGUCAGUAAAAACAAACUGCAACUGUUGAAGAAAGAGUUUUCAAAAGUAGAGAACCUAGACCACAUUUACAGGACAAACCCAUACCUGGUUCUGUAUUUGUCUUUGUGGAUGGACCAAGCAAAAAAAGUCUGAAACUAGAAAAACGCAGAGUGGCUGUGUGGUUCUGACUGAUAGUGAGACCUUGAAAGCAGAACCGCUACCCCCACACUACAGAGCACAAGCAGCAGAAAUAAUUGCACUGACUGAGACAUGCCGACUUAGGUCAGAUAGUUACCAUCUAUACUGAUAGCAGAUACGCACAAUGAACUAUUCAUAUAUUUACCAGUCAAUGGGAAAAUAGAGGCAUGAUGACAUCAACGGGAAAGACUAUAAUGAAGGUGAUUUAAUGAAAAAUUUGUUAAAAGCGGUACAACUACCUGCAAAAAUAGCCAUUUGAUGCACUGCACUCCCAAAAGUGAAAAUAAAUAAAUAAAUAAAUAAAUAAAUGGACUCAAAGGACAAGCUGCUGAAAAGUUAUUACUAUGUUUGACAAGGGGAACCUGUCCUACCAACAUCCCUCUAUAAAGGAGCAGCAAUAUUGUGACGUGGGCCUUGCCAUGUCUCAACGGGGGGGGAUGGUAUGGAUAAAAAACAAACUACUAUACUGCUUAUGCAUUUACAAAUUAUUCUAAAAAAUGUUGUUCCCGAUGCAUCACUUGCUCUAAAUAUAACCCUCAAGGAAUUAUUCGACAAACAAGAAGAACAUUCCCUAUAGCAGAAUAUCCAUUUCAUUAUUUGCAUAUUGGAUUUUUGUGAAUUAACUAGCUGUCAAUGUAAAAAGUAGUGUUUGACAAUUAUUAACCUUUUUUUCCAAAUGGAUAGAUCCACUAGCUGUAGCAAAACUCUAGUAAGAUAUAAUACGAUUUGGGAUACUAGAUCGAAUUUAUAGUGAAAACGGACAACACAGAUUUUUCCUACCUGCUGCUAUCAGACUAUAUAACCAGAACUGUUAACUUCCUAUUGCUACAUUAACUCACCUACUGCAUCAGUGAUUUAUGUAAUAAUCUCCUCUGUGCAACAUUUGUGCAAAUCAGAACAAUAUUUAAAUUUAACAACCCUUCCAAUGCCUUCCAUAUGUCAAAGGUGUUAAAACAUCACAAGAAAUGUUUUUCUGAAAAUGCUUUUCAAGAGGUGCCUUGUCCACAGGAGGGACCACUGCAGGUUGGUGACUGGGUGUUCACCAGAGUCAUAAAGCGCAAGAACUGGACCUCACCCCGGUGGGAAGGCCCGUAUAGAGUGACGCUGACAACACCUACAGCCUGCAAAGUCGAAGGCAUCUCCCGGUGGAUACACAACACACACUGCAAAAGACAACAGGUACAGGCAACCGAGUAGUAUUGUCCGUGAGAAAAAACCCAACUGAGGGAGGGGAAAAGUCUGCCUACAAAGGGGGUCAGCAGCAUUUAGAGCACUGGUCGUCUCAACGGCAGCAAAGAAACCAGCGGUACCUUCUCUCACUUAGGGGGACAUUCUCAUAAGGAGAUACUAUGAGGGGACACUGUCCAGCCACGGGAGUUGUACUAACUGCCCUUGUACUGUUGAUUGAUGCUAAGCCACUCCCCGACCUCAUCAAGGAUGAGGAGAGACCUACUGACCAGUAUCACACUAAUUUGUGGUAUUGUUAAAUGAAGACAGAGCACUCUUAACUUUACUGGUUCAGUGUGUCUCUUAUUAUUAUGGUAUUGAUUUCAUGGGGACCCUCCCACAGUCUGAUAUCAACUAUGUUUGUAGGCACACAAUCUAUGGGCAUCUUCCACCCAAUUGGGUAGGUUGCUGUGCCCCUGUUUAUGUUUCAGAUGACUCCUACGUGAUGACACCACAGCAGACGACUUCCAAGGAAAGGCUACGGAAGCGAGAGAUCGACCUGAAGGAAAGUGAUCGGAUCUGGGGAUCAGACGUCCCCAUGGACAAGAAGCUCUGGACUACAGGCCAGAAAGUGGCACUAUCCCUAUUUCCAAGGUUGGGGGUAGGAACAAACAUGCUAAGAGCUGAAACCAUAAAUUACUGAAUGACUCAACAGGCACUCCGUGACCUACAGCACAUAUCCAAUGUGCAGGCGGCUGACGUAAUGAAGGACAAAUCGUGGUUGGUUUAAGUCUGGCACAUGGACUGACAUUAUGAUGAAGAUUUUUGGACCGAUUCUACUGAUUCUUUUGGUUCUGAUGCUGAUUGUGUUGUGCGUAAUUCCCUGUUUGAGGGCCAUGAUCAUCAAGCUGGUGAAUCAAGGCCUUCUCAGGGUGUGCACAGUCAUGCACUCUCAACAAAUACACUAUACACCUUUAAAGCUUGAUAACUGUAAAGUGAACCUCCACGAUGUCGACGGAAAUGGACGCUAAGCUGUAAAUAUUGUGCUUCUGUGCUUUUGACCCUGCCUACGAUGUUCUAACAUUUAUUCCAUGUUUUAUGAUGACUGCACUCAAAAUCAAAAGACGUUGUGCUGUUCUGAUGUAUGCAUGAUUGUUUAAUGAAUGUUUCAAUUUUAAACAGGAGGGAAAUGUUGGAAAAAUACUGCAUUUAAUCAUUGAAACAUUGUUGGAAUUUAUUUUGCUGAUCUGCUCAAGCCUUGUCAGCUGUGCUAUAGCCUUGAAGUUUUCUCCCUUCUGCUCUGCAAGAAAUAGGGAGUACCAGUGUGUAGCAUCCUUAUCUGAUGUGCCCAAUGCUUGCUUUGUGCAGAGAAUAUUUCCUACGUACUGUGUGACUAUGCACCUCCCAGAAUGCAAUACAUAUUAUGAGCUGAAUCCCUGUCUUCUCUUCAGUGAGAGGAAGUUGCCUUUGCUGUAAACUGCUCACUCCUUGCAAGUAAAAUCCUGAAGAAGGUC